UAGGGAAUCUUCGGCAAUGGACGGAAGUCUGACCGAGCAACGCCGCGUGAGUGAAGAAGGUUUUCGGAUCGUAAAGCUCUGUUGUUAGAGAAGAACGUUGGUAGGAGUGGAAAAUCUACCAAGUGACGGUAACUAACCAGAAAGGGACGGCUAACUACGUGCCAGCAGCCGCGGUAAUACGUAGGUCCCGAGCGUUGUCCGGAUUUAUUGGGCGUAAAGCGCGCGCAGGCGGUUCUUUAAGUCUGAAGUUAAAGGCAGUGGCUUAACCAUUGUACGCUUUGGAAACUGGAGGACUUGAGUGCAGAAGGGGAGAGUGGAAUUCCAUGUGUAGCGGUGAAAUGCGUAGAUAUAUGGAGGAACACCGGUGGCGAAGGCGGCUCUCUGGUCUGUACCUGACGCUGAGGCUCGAAAGCGUGGGGAGCAAACAGG
rnacentral:rRNA from 1 species